CCUACGGGUGGCAGCAGUGGGGAAUAUUGCACAAUGGGGGAAACCCUGAUGCAGCGACGCCGCGUGAGUGAAGAAGUAUUUCGUUUUGUAAAGUCCUUUUAUUAGGGAAGAAUAUGACGGUAUCUGACUAAGAAGCACCGGCUAACUACGUGCCAGCAGCCGCGGUAAUACGGAGGGUGCAAGCGUUACUCGGAUUUACUGGGCGUAAAGGGUGCGUAGACGGCAGUAUAAGUCAGAUGUGAAAUCCUGGAGCUCAACCACAGGACUGCAUGUGAAACUGUUAGUCUGGAGUGCAGGAGAGGUAGGUGGAAUUCCUGGUGUAGCGGUGAAAUGCGUAGAGAUUAGGAGGAACACUAGUGGCGAAGGCGGCCUGCUGGACGAUGACUGACGCUGAGGCUCGAAAGCGUGGGGAGCAAACAGGAUUAGAUACCCGUGUAGUC
rnacentral:rRNA from 1 species